CUACGGGGUGCAGUAGUGGGGAAUAUUGGACAAUGGGGGAAACCCUGAUCCAGCAAUGCCGCGUGUGUGAAGAAGGCCUGCGGGUUGUAAAGCACUUUCGGUUGGGAGGACUGCUUCUAGCACUAAUAUUGUUGGAAGUUGACGUUACCUUCAGAAGAAGCACCGGCUAACUCCGUGCCAGCAGCCGCGGUGAUACGGAGGGUGCAAGCGUUAAUCGGAAUUACUGGGCGUAAAGCGCGCGUAGGCGGCUAGAUCAGUCGGGUGUGAAAGCCCCGGGCUUAACCUGGGAACUGCAUCCGAUACUGUCUAGCUUGAGUACAGGAGAGGAGAGUGGAAUUCCACAUGUAGCGGUGAAAUGCGUAGAUAUGUGGAGGAACACCAAUGGCGAAGGCAGCUCUCUGGCCUGAUACUGACGCUGAGGUGCGAAAGCGUGGGGAGCAAACAGGAUUAGAUACCCUAGUAGUC
rnacentral:rRNA from 1 species